rnacentral:rRNA from 1 species
UACAGAGGUGCCAAGCGUUAGGCGGAAUCACUGGGCUUAAAGCGCGUGUAGGCGGGUCGGUAAGUGUCUUGUGAAAUCCCACGGCUCAACCGUGGAACUGCUGGGCAUACUGCCGAUCUUGAGGCACUCAGGGGCUGUCGGAACAAAUGGUGGAGCGGUGAAAUGCGUAGAUAUCAUUUGGAACGCCAAUGGUGAAAACAGACAGCUGGGGGUGUCCUGACGCUGAGACGCGAAAGCCAGGGGAGCAAACGGG